CUCAAACUCCAGCCAUAUGCUCAAACUACAGUGGCCAAUCGCCCUUGCCCGAAGCUAGCCUACAAAUUCUUUGGUCCGUUUACAGUGGAACAGCGCAUUGGAUCGAUGGCAUACAAAUUGGAUCUUCCUAUAGAGAGUCGCAUCCACAACGUAUUCCAUGUGUCCCAGUUGAAGCCUUUCACUCCAGAUUACACACCGGUCUUCACACAGCUGCCGCACACACCUGAUCUCACAGCUGCCCCAUUGCAACCUGAAGUGAUUCUGGACCGUCACAUGGUCAAGAAAGGUAACUCCUCUAUUGUGCAGGUCCGUGUGCAAUGGGCAUCGCUUUCGCCGGAAUCUGCCACUUGGAAACAUUAUACAGUGCUCCGUCAGUGCUAUCCCGACGCACCAUGUUGGGCGGAUGACGCUCGCACUCAAGGGGAGGCAAUUGUCACACCUACUCUUGUGUAG
rnacentral:rRNA from 1 species